rnacentral:rRNA from 1 species
GAUGAACGCUGGCGGCGUGCCUAACACAUGCAAGUCGUACGGUAGGGCCCUUUCGGGGGUACACGAGUGGCAGACGGGUGAGUAACACUUACGUAACGUGAACCCAACUUUAGGAUAACGCUAAGAAACUGAAGCUACAGCUAGAUCCGUGCUCUUGCUUCAAGGUGGGGGUUGGAAAGUUACAGCGGUUGUGGGUGUACCUGCGGGAUAUAAGCUUGUUGGUUGAGUAGUGGCCUACCAAGGCGGCGACGGGUAGCCGGCCUGAGUGGGUGACCGGCCACAUUGGGACUGAGAUACGGCCCAGACGCCUACGGGCGGCAGCAGUGGGGAAUAUUGCACAAUGGGCGCAAGCCUGAUGCAGCAACGCCGCGUGCGGGAUGACGGCCUUCGGGUUGUAAACCGCUUUCAGCAGGGACGAAGCUUUUUGUGACGGUACCUGCAGAAGAAGCACCGGCUAACUACGUG